rnacentral:snRNA from 1 species
AUAUUUACCUGGCAGAGGAGACACCAUGAUCAGGCAGGUGGUUUUUGUAGGGUGAGGCUCAUCCCCUGCACUCCGGAUGUGAUGACCCCUGUGAUUUCCCCAGAUGGGGGAAACUCAACUGUAUAAUUUAUGGUAGUGUAUUUAUAUA